rnacentral:snRNA from 1 species
UUGGCUAAGUCCGUUCGGC